AUUGAACGCUGGCGGAAUGCUUUACACAUGCAAGUCGAACGGCAGCACGAGAGCUUGCUCUUGGUGGCGAGUGGCGAACGGGUGAGUAAUAUAUCGGAACGUAUCCAAUAAUGGGGAUAACUAAUCGAAAGGUUAGCUAAUACCGCAUACGUCCUACGGGAGAAAGCGGGGGGGUCUUCGGGACCUCGCGCCAUUAGAUGAGCCUAGGUCGGAUUAGCUAGUUGGUGAGGUAAUGGCUCACCAAGGCGACGAUCCGUAACUGGUCUGAGAGGAUGAUCAGUCACACUGGAACUGAGACACGGUCCAGACUCCUACGGGAGGCAGCAGUGGGGAAUAUUGGACAAUGGGCGAAAGCCUGAUCCAGCCAUGCCGCGUGUGUGAGGAAGGUCUUCGGAUUGUAAAGCACUUUAAGUUGGGAGGAAGGGCAGUAAGCUAAUACCUUGCUGUUUUGACGUUACCGACAGAAUAAGCACCGGCUAACUCUGUG
rnacentral:rRNA from 1 species